GAGAUGUGCUUCAAGGUACUAGUAUUGCUGCCAAAGAGGAAAGAUUCUGCUUUCCAUCAGCUGUGUCCUCGGCCUUGCUGUAUCUUUCUAGCACCUACUGCUGACGGCCCUGGUUACGCUGCCACGCUAGUGUAGCUGAAGCUGAAGACCAGGAAGGGGGUCUCCUUUCUUCAAUUCCAGGGCUGGGAAUAGGCUUAUGCAAGAUUCCAUCUGAGUGCAGGCUCAAUACCUGAGGGAGCAGAACUUUGUGGCCUACAUCCCCAAAUCCUGCAAUUCUUCAAGGGACCAUAUUUGAGAAUUCCAAAAACCUGAGUGGCUACCUCAACCCUGCAGAAAAAUGCCAGUCAGCUGACGGGCCAUUCCCAGGGCCACUGGGUCCUGGCCAGAUCCUAUAAUUUCUAUCUGAUGUUCAGAUGGAACAUAUACUUUCAUAG